AUAUGCCUACGGGGCGCAGCAGUGAGGAAUAUUGGUCAAUGGGCGAGAGCCUGAACCAGCCAAGUCGCGUGAGGGAAGAAGGUUUUCGGAUUGUAAACCUCUGUCCUUGGUGACGAUAAUGACGGUAGCCAAGGAGGAAGCUCCGGCUAACUACGUGCCAGCAGCCGCGGUAAUACGUAGGGAGCGAGCGUUGUCCGGAAUUACUGGGUGUAAAGGGAGCGUAGGCGGGACUGCAAGUUGGGUGUCAAAUCUACCGGCUCAACCGGUAGCCGCACUCAAAACUGCAGUUCUUGAGUGAAGUAGAG
rnacentral:rRNA from 1 species